UGCAGUCGAACGAUGACCUCCAGCUUGCUGGGGUGAUUAGUGGCGAACGGGUGAGUAACACGUGAGUAACCUGCCCUUGACUCUGGGAUAAGCCUGGGAAACUGGGUCUAAUACCGGAUAUGACUCCUCAUCGCAUGGUGGGGGGUGGAAAGCUUUUUGUGGUUUUGGAUGGACUCGCGGCCUAUCAGCUUGUUGGUGAGGUAAUGGCUUACCAAGGCGACGACGGGUAGCCGGCCUGAGAGGGUGACCGGCCACACUGGGACUGAGACACGGCCCAGACUCCUACGGGAGGCAGCAGUGGGGAAUAUUGCACAAUGGGCGCAAGCCUGAUGCAGCGACGCCGCGUGAGGGAUGACGGCCUUCGGGUUGUAAACCUCUUUCAGUAGGGAAGAAGCGAAAGUGACGGUACCUGCAGAAGAAGCGCCGGCUAACUACGUGCCAGCAGCCGCGGUAAUACGUAGGGCGCAAGCGUUAUCCGGAAUUAUUGGGCGUAAAGAGCUCGUAGGCGGUUUGUCGCGUCUGCCGUGAAAGUCCGGGGCUCAACUCCGGAUCUGCGGUGGGUACGGGCAGACUAGAGUGAUGUAGGGGAGACUGGAAUUCCUGGUGUAGCGGUGAAAUGCGCAGAUAUCAGGAGGAACACCGAUGGCGAAGGCAGGUCUCUGGGCAUUAACUGACGCUGAGGAGCGAAAGCAUGGGGAGCGAACAGGAUUAGAUACCCUGGUAGUCCAUGCCGUAAACGUUGGGCACUAGGUGUGGGGGACAUUCCACGUUUUCCGCGCCGUAGCUAACGCAUUAAGUGGCC
rnacentral:rRNA from 1 species